AAUCAAAACGGCCCCGUUUUAUGAAUAGAAGACGCUUGGAAGCGCCUCCAAAUGACCAACCCUAUUUUGUCUCUCCACACCUUUAUUUUGAAAACCCACCGCCGUCAAGUUCGAAGUUAUCACUCACUCAAAUCUCUCACUCUCUUGCUCUCUCUCGAUUCUUCUUCAGAGCGAUUGCGAUUUCUAAGUUUCUCAGACCCAACCUAUCUGCAACCGUAUGGCUUCAAUCUCGUAGUUUCUCAGAGCGAUUGCAAUUUCGAAGUUCGAUUUUGAGCACCGCCGUCUACAAUCUCAGAAAAACCAAUCGAAUCCUUCAAAAUCUGCUUCAGCUCCGUGAUUUCGAAGUUCGAUUUGGAACUCUUCAUCUCUUCAAUCAGAGAUCGAUCGCAGAAAAACACUACACUUUCGGUGCAGAGUUGAGUCGGAAAAAUGAAAUACCUGCUUCAAGGUCAGGUGCUCAUUCACUUCCUAAAUCCAAUAAGAAUAAUGUGCUCAGUACAAGCCACUCAAAGCAUAAUCAGAUUGGUCAAACAGAUAUAUAUUGUUCAAAAGAGUGCAAGAAUACAAGACCCCUUUAAAAAUACUAAAAGUUCUUCAAAUAAAGCAAAGGCUGGUUGUGAUUCCUCAUCUUUGUCUGCAAAAUCACCACUUCAGCAUCCUAGAAGGAAUAUGGUAAGACUCCAAAAGAUCUUUUGACUAUUGGCUUAGUGAAACAUCGUCAUAGAAUUUAUGGGUUUAUGUGUGGCUAACCUUUAUGCUAUAUAAGUUUCUUGCUUUAGUGUUUUGCUGUCAUUUUGAUUUUGGAAACAAUCAUCACACAUUGGUCUUUGCUUUGAGCUUUUCUCAAGAUGUUUAGUAUAUGAAACAAAGAUCAUAUUGCCUUAGAAAUGAAGCUUUCUGAACAAGGGAUUGCCACUUUGUUGCCAAUAUCCCUAAAGUGAACAAGCAAAAAUCAAAUGAUUUCACCUUCUUUUUUUUUUCUUUUUUUCUUGCCUUUUCUUGAGAAUCAAACAUAACUUAGUAGCAACAACCUUCUUUCACACCCCUCACAAAGAGAAAACCAAGUCACCUACCUUAAUCAUAAGUCAUCAUUGUCCCAUUUCCUUAAUCAUUCACCAUGUGGUUGAAAAGAUUUGGCCUGUUUGUAUGGAGCCCAUUGUUUCACAGAAAAUUCUCCUCCCUAGCAUACCUUGGUUCUUGGAGAAGUACAAACCAUGGACUGUGGUACGAGUCUACCGUCCUAAAUACGAUUAAUUGCUGUCCUUGUUCCAUUUUUCUGGUUCAGCAUCUGUAUAUGGGACGAUCACCUCCUGUGUUCACAGAAAUGAGGGUUCUUCAUCAAACCACUGAUCACGACCACUUGGUAUGUAAUACUGUCUUAGUCAUGGUGGAUUUAUGUCAAUAAUGUUCUAGAUGGUGUACUGCUCAGAGAUGCGAGAAAACAAGUAUGGAGGAAAGACUUUAUUGAAUGGAAAAAGUUUUAGGUUCUGGAAAUACUCAGCUUCCUCAUCUGUUUAAUGCGUUAAAUUGACAGUUUUCAGUUUGUAAUGUUCAUGGCAUUCAAUAUGAAAAACUUUAUUGAGAAGGAAAGAGCAAAUUUUGUUUGCUUGGUGUGAAAUAUGGAAAUGCAUCCCUUUAGUUUCACGGGAAGUAUGAAAAAGAUGCUUAAAGAUGACUUUCAAACCUUAGUGGACAUUUAAGGAGUCAUUUGAACCUGAAAAUCUUCUGCAAAUGGGAAUUAUGGUAUGCCCCGAUUUAUUGGCCUUCAUUGAGAAGAUGAAGUGGAAAAUGUUCACUGUGAAAAAGAAGCAACAAACAACAUCUAGCCUCCUGGAGCAGUAAUGAUUUUGUCCAAAAUGUUCUAAGCAAAGCAUAUGUGGUCUCAGUUGCACAACAGAAAUGAUCCACUCAGUUCUGGAUUGGAAUGGGAGUGAGUUCUUUGGAGCCUUCUUUUAUUUUCUUUUUGGGCGUUGGGGAAGGAUGAAAUUCUCUGUUUUUCAAAUUGCACAAUAAGGGAUGUAAGCUGGGAAAUUUUGUUGGCUGCCUUUACUUAGAUCACACUCAUGAAUGUUAGUUGUCAUUUUUCCAGUGUUGUAAAAGUGUAUAUAACCAGAACAUAAUUUGGGGUGUGUUUUGUCUUUCGUUUAUGUAUGGGAUUCACCUUUGUGGCCUAAAUGAAAUACUUUCUGGAAGCUUUUGGAAAGCUGUAUUUGAUGUCUCAACUGUUAGAGCCUUAGACCAUAUUAGUUUACCGGUUAUUUUCUCCAUUUAUUUUGAAUUUCUCAGAUAUUAUCUUAGAUAGAGCGUGCAAAUUAUAAAGCUUUACGCUUUUAAGACAAAUUCUUGCAGCACACAGCUCAUUUUGGCAGCCUUGAAGCUGAGAGUGACUGUUUACUUUUGGUCUCCUUUGAGGCUGUAGUUUCUAUUGCUCUACGGCUGACUUUUGGAUUGUUCUUGCAAAAUAUGUGAAGUUUUUCUCUUAUCCCUUUUUUCCUUUUGUUGAAUAUCACAUAUGAUAUUCUCAUAAGAAUCUUUAAGUAUAACCCUGUUUCAUGAUUUCUUGUGUCUUUCGAUUUCUAGUCCUGAAGAUUUUGGAUCAGAAGUGUAUGGCUAUGCUCAGCACUGUCACUCGUUGCCAAGACAUGAUAACUGAGAUGAUUACCUGUGCUGUUACUGAAGGGGAUGACAAUCACGGUGAGUGCUUUCACUACUUUGUAUAAUGUGACCUGUUCUGUUCAAGAUUUUAGGAUGUUCUGGGAAGGUUCUCUACUCAAACUACUUGACAGCCUGCUUUUGGAUAGUGAGCCCUUGGGGUCAAGAAACAAGUAUUUCUUUGGCUUUUGUUUGUUCAGUUUGAAAUGGACUACAGUAUUAAAAUGUUUUCAAUCAAGUUGUUUAGAUUAUUGAUUAGAUUCAAGUUUGGGAGGUUUGACCUUCUGGAUUCCCGGAGUUAAGCAAUGCUGGUUAUGCGGCACCUUAGAUCCUAUCACAAGGUAAUUUAUGUAAUUGAUUGAAGAUCGCUGGAAGUAGCAUCAAGUUAUAUAGACAAGCAUCUUCUCAUUGUUGUGUCAUAAUUCCUUCACAGGAAAAUGCAUUGGAAUGUGUCCAAAGAGUUAUAGGAAAACAAGGCAAAGUAACGAGUUGUUUGUUGCCUAUGGUUUUAAUGAAUGCUUAUAAAAUAUAAUUCGCCUUGAAGUUUGUUUUUA